rnacentral:lncRNA from 1 species
GACUCGGGACUAAAAGUCCCACCAUGUGGCAGCUAUCGCCCGUCGUGGUAAAAGAGAUAAUGUCUCACACCAAUGCAACUCGGGGGAUUUGAACUCAAGACCGAUGUGUAUUGCACUGUGCAGCUUACCACCCCACCUACACACAACAUGUAACUUGUGAUGGAAUGAUUUCCUUUUGAACUAGCCUAUGGAGGACCUUUAAUCCGGGUUGGUGUUACCAACCAGGAUUAAAAGCUUCUUUAGUUUGGGUUUGUAAUACCAACCGGGACUAAAGUUAGACCCUUUAGUCCGGGUUAGUGUUAUCAACCGGGACUAAAGGGUUAAGGCCUUUAGUCCUGGUUGAUAACAUAAACCUGGACUAAAGGUCCCAAACCAACCGGAACGAAAGAUGGCAGUGCCGCCCGUCCGCUCCUACCCGUUCGAACCGGGACUAAUGCUCGCAUUAUUCUCGGUUCGUAAAGCGACCGGGACUAUUGCUCAACCGGUGCUAGGACGAAAGCCUUGUUUUCUACAAGUGUCAUGUAGUGAUUGUAGCGAUCAUACUUUACGACUUAUAUAUAGCUUAGGGUUUAGAAUUAGUUUUUAUUAAUAUGUCAUUAGUUACAAUGGAACUGCUAUUUAGAUCUUUUGGCUUAUUAGAUUAGUCUUUACUAUGAGGGUUUAGGGUAUAAGGUUAGUUUUGUUUACAAUUAUCAAACAUUGUCCUUUCAAAAUAAAUCACCUGC